rnacentral:rRNA from 1 species
CCUACGGGAGGCAGCAGUGAGGAACAUUGGUCAAUGGGCGUGAGCCUGAACCAGCCAAGUAGCGUGCAGGAUGACGGCCCUAUGGGUUGUAAACUGCUUUUGUCGGGGAACAAAGUGUGGCUCGUGAGCCGUUUUGCGUGUACCCGAUGAAUAAGGACCGGCUAAUUCCGUGCCAGCAGCCGCGGUAA